GUAGUCUCGCACAGAUGCAUAUCAAUAAGCGGAGGAAAAGAAACUAACAAGGAUUCCCCUAGUAACGGCGAGUGAAGCGGGAAGAGCUCAAAUUUGAAAUCUUAAAGGGUUUCCCUUUACGAAUUGUAGUUUAAAGAAGUGUUUUCUGUUGAGGUUUUGGUAAAAGUUCUUUGGAAUAGGACAUCAUAGAGGGUGAGAAUCCCGUAUUUGACCUUUACUUUCAACUUUGUGAUACACUUUCAAAGAGUCGGAUUGUUUGGGAAUGCAGUCCAAAAUGGGUGGUAAAUUUCAUCUAAAGCUAAAUAUUGGCGAGAGACCGAUAGCGAACAAGUACCGUGAGGGAAAGAUGAAAAGAACUUUGAAAAGAGAGUUAAACAGUACGUGAAAUUGUCAAAAGGGAAGCGUUUGACACCAGUGUUGUUUUUCUGAAAAUCAACUAAAGAACUGUUUAUGCUAAGUUGUUUAGACUUUAUCAGCUAAUCUGCUUAGUUUUGAGCUUUUCUUUAAUGCACUUUUCAGUUAACAAGUCAACAUCAAUUUCCUUUGCUGUAAAAAAGCUUGAGGAAGGUGGCUUGAGAUUCGUCUUAAGUGUUUAUAGCCUCUUGCCUAUGCAGUCGGAGAGAUUGAGGUCUGCAGCGUAGAUCCUUCGGGGCUAAAUGCAUUUGUGCUAAUGUUAUAGCACUUUAUAGACAACUUGUUGACUAUGAUUUGUCUUGUAGCUUACUCGCUUAUGUUAUUUUACCUACGCUUAGGAUGUUGACGCAUGAGAUAUACGC
rnacentral:rRNA from 1 species